rnacentral:rRNA from 1 species
AGGAUGUUGGCUUAGAAGCAGCCAUCAUUUAAAGAAAGCGUAAUAGCUCACUGGUCGAGUCGGCCUGCGCGGAAGAUGUAACGGGGCUAAACCAUGCACCGAAGCUGCGGCAGCGAACGUAUCACCCAAGACAACUUUACGGAGUUGACGAUUGACGGAGCGAAGCGACGUCAAAGCGUUCAUUAAAGUCGAGUUGGCUUAGGGAUACGUUCGUUGGGUAGGGGAGCGUUCUGUAAGCCUGUGAAGGUGUGUCGUGAGGCAUGCUGGAGGUAUCAGAAGUGCGAAUGCUGACAUAAGUAACGAUAAAGCGGGUGAAAAGCCCGCUCGCCGGAAGACCAAGGGUUCCUGUCCAACGUUAAUCGGGGCAGGGUGAGUCGACCCCUAAGGCGAGGCCGAAAGGCGUAGUCGAUGGGAAACGGGUUAAUAUUCCCGUACUUGGUGUUACUGCGAAGGGGGGACGGAGAAGGCUAUGUUGGCCGGGCGACGGUUGUCCCGGUUUAAGCGUGUAGGUGUGUGUUCCAGGUAAAUCCGGUUCACUUUAACACUGAGGCGUGACGACGAGGCACUACGGUGCUGAAGCAACAAAUGCCCUGCUUCCAGGAAAAGCCUCUAAGCAUCAGGUAACAUCAAAUCGUACCCCAAACCGACACAGGUGGUCAGGUAGAGAAUACCAAGGCGCUUGAGAGAACUCGGGUGAAGGAACUAGGCAAAAUGGUGCCGUAACUUCGGGAGAAGGCACGCUGACACGUAGGUGAAGUGAUUUACUCAUGGAGCUGAAGUCAGUCGAAGAUACCAGCUGGCUGCAACUGUUUAUUAAAAACACAGCACUGUGCAAACACGAAAGUGGACGUAUACGGUGUGACGCCUGCCCGGUGCCGGAAGGUUAAUUGAUGGGGUCAGCGCAAGCGAAGCUCCUGAUCGAAGCCCCGGUAAACGGCGGCCGUAACUAUAACGGUCCUAAGGUAGCGAAAUUCCUUGUCGGGUAAGUUCCGACCUGCACGAAUGGCGUAAUGAUGGCCAGGCUGUCUCCACCCGAGACUCAGUGAAAUUGAACUCGCUGUGAAGAUGCAGUGUACCCGCGGCAAGACGGAAAGACCCCGUGAACCUUUACUAUAGCUUGACACUGAACAUUGAGCCUUGAUGUGUAGGAUAGGUGGGAGGCUUUGAAGUGUGGACGCCAGUCUGCAUGGAGCCGACCUUGAAAUACCACCCUUUAAUGUUUGAUGUUCUAACGUGGACCCGUAAUCCGGGUUGCGGACAGUGUCUGGUGGGUAGUUUGACUGGGGCGGUCUCCUCCUAAAGAGUAACGGAGGAGCACGAAGGUUGGCUAAUCCUGGUCGGACAUCAGGAGGUUAGUGCAAUGGCAUAAGCCAGCUUGACUGCGAGCGUGACGGCGCGAGCAGGUGCGAAAGCAGGUCAUAGUGAUCCGGUGGUUCUGAAUGGAAGGGCCAUCGCUCAACGGAUAAAAGGUACUCCGGGGAUAACAGGCUGAUACCGCCCAAGAGUUCAUAUCGACGGCGGUGUUUGGCACCUCGAUGUCGGCUCAUCACAUCCUGGGGCUGAAGUAGGUCCCAAGGGUAUGGCUGUUCGCCAUUUAAAGUGGUACGCGAGCUGGGUUUAGAACGUCGUGAGACAGUUCGGUCCCUAUCUGCCGUGGGCGCUGGAGAACUGAGGGGGGCUGCUCCUAGUACGAGAGGACCGGAGUGGACGCAUCACUGGUGUUCGGGUUGUCAUGCCAAUGGCACUGCCCGGUAGCUAAAUGCGGAAGAGAUAAGUGCUGAAAGCAUCUAAGCACGAAACUUGCCCCGAGAUGAGUUCUCCCUGAGACUUAGAGUCUCCUGAAGGAACGUUGAAGACGACGACGUUGAUAGGCCGGGUGUGUAAGCGCAGCGAUGCGUUGAGCUAACCGGUACUAAUGAACCGUGAGGCUUAACCUUACA